UCCCAGGUGGCUUAGUGGGUAAAGAGUCUGCUUGUCAAUGCAGGAGACGCAGGUUUGAUCCCUGGGUUGGGAA
rnacentral:tRNA from 1 species